rnacentral:rRNA from 1 species
GGUUGAUCCUGCCAGUAGUCAUACGCUUAACUCAAAGAUUAAGCCAUGCAUGUCUCAGUACAGCCUCGAAAAAGUGAAACCGCAAACAGCUCAUUAAAUCAGUUACAACUUCCUUGCUCUCGAGUUUCUUAAAUGGAUAACUGUGGUAAAUCUAGAGCUAAUACAUGCAAACUUGUCUCGCAGCAAUGCGAGUCGCAUCUUAUUAGACCCAGAUCAUAGGGCGCGCAAGCGUCUGUUACAUCAGAGGUGACUCUAGAUAAUAUUCAGCUAUCAUAUAAGUCCUCUUACGAGC